rnacentral:rRNA from 1 species
GAUGAACGCUGGCGGCGUGCCUAAUACAUGCAAGUCGAGCGAACGGACGAGAAGCUUGCUUUUCUGAUGUUAGCGGCGGACGGGUGAGUAACACGUGGAUAACCUACCUAUAAGACUGGGAUAACUUCGGGAAACCGGAUCUAAUACCGGAUAAUAUUUUGAACCGCAUGGUUCAAAAGUGAAAGACGUUCUUGCUGUCACUUAUAGAUGGUUCCGCGCUGCAUUAGCUAGUUGGUAGGGUAACGGCUUACCAAGGCAACGAUGCAUAGCCGACCUGAGAGGGUGAUCGGCCACACUGGAACUGAGACACGGUCCAGACUACUACGGGAGGCAGCAGUAGGGAAUAUUCCGCAAAGGGCGAAAGCCUGACGGAGCAACGCCGCGUGAGUGAUGAAGGUCUUCGGAUCGUAAAACUCUGUUAUUAGGGAAGAACAGAUGUGUAAGUAAAUGUGCACAUCUUGACGGUACCUAAUCAAAAAGCAACGGCUAACUACGUG